GGAGUACGGUCGCAAGAUUAAAACUCAAAGGAAUUGACGGGGACCCGCACAANCGGUGGAUGAUGUGGAUUAAUUCGAUGCAACGCGAAAAACCUUACCUACCCUNGACAUGGUCAGAACCCCUGCUGAAAGGUGGGGGUGCUCGAAAGAGAACUGAUACACAGGUGCUGCAUGNCUGUCGUCAGCUCGUGUCGUGAGAUGUUGGGUUAAGUCCCGCAACGAGCGCAACCCUNGUCCCUAGUUGCUACGCAAGAGCACUCUAGGGAGACUGCCGGUGACAAAUCCGGAGGAAGGUGGGGAUGACGUCAAGUCCUCAUGGCCCUUAUGGGUAGGGCUUCACAGCGUCAUACAAUGGUCGGAACAGAGGGUCGCCAAGCCGCCGAGGUGGAGCCAAUCCCAGAAAACCGAUCGUAGUCCGGAUCGCACUCUGCAAACUCGAGUGCGUGAAGUCUGGAAUCGCCUAGUAAUCGCGGAUCAGCAUG
rnacentral:rRNA from 1 species